AGUCUUCCCUCCAUAUGUUUCGGUUGACGCAACCCGAAACACGGAUCUUCUGGACCCCACAAUACCGAGCCCAACUCAAAAGUCGAAAAAGACUCUCGAUAUUUUCCUUAUUGUACUUAUGGUGGCUAUCGGCUGUUUUGCUCCUGCCGCUGUUGGAAAUUUUUUGAUCCCUUAUGUCGAUGAGAGAUCCAACAUUCAUGGGUUCGUUGCGUGCUUUUGUUUCCGUAAGAACCAAAAUAUCCAAAGUGAGGCAAGAGUAAUGAAUCAUGGGAACAUUUGCACCAUAUGGAAUUACCAUGGAAGAAUUGCAUAUGAGGACAUUAUCAAAGCAACAAAUGACUUCGACAUUAGAUAUUGCAUUGGCACAGGUGGAUAUGGCAGCGUGUACAAAGCUCAAUUGCCAAGCGGCAAAGUAGUUGCCUUGAAGAAACUUCAUCAGUUGGAAGCAUAGGACACUACAUUCGACCAUUCUUUCAGGAAUGAGGUCCAAAUGUUGACUUAUGUACGACACAAGAACAUCGUGAAGCUUUAUGGAUUUUGUUUGCACAAGAGAUGCAUGUUCUUGGUGUACAAGUACAUGGAAAAAGGAAGCUUAUUUUGCGCCCUGAGAUUCGAUGCCAAAGCUUCUGAAAUUGGAUGGACUCAAAGGGUAAACAUAGUUGGAGAUAUGGCACAUGCUUUAUCCUACUUGCAUCAUGAUUGCACACUGCCAAUUGUUCAUCGAGACAUAUAGAGCAACAACAUUCUAUUGAACUCUAAACUGCAGGCUUUUGUCUCUGACUUCGGAACUGCAAGAUUGUUGUAUCCCAAUUCAUCCAAUCAAAUCGUUAUUGCAGGGACUUACGGAUAUAUUGCACCAGAACUAGCAUAUACCAUGGUUGUGACUGAAAAGUGCAAUGUUUAUAGUUUUGGAGUGGUGGCACUAGAAACAAUCAUGGGAAGGCAUCCAGGAGACCUCCUAUCGUCCUUGACGUCGCCUCCUAGCGAAAA